AGCGAGUGUACGGGGAUGAGGUUUGGGAAUCUUGUGUGAAAGUGGGUUUGGCUGAGUGGGGAGAAAUCGCUUUGGGUCAUCGCUCAAGAUAUACGAGAGGAUUGCCGACUUUCUGGGAAUCCUCUGCUCUAGGAAAGCUGAAGAGGCUUUUAAAUGAGUGAGGAAACGUCUGAACAUUUCGGACAUUUUUUCCAGACACGGUACUGGUUAGAGUGGCACAUCCUGGUAUCUGAGCUCAAGAACUUUUCAGCAUGAGUCGGGCAUUUAUCAGGAAGAAAGGUGAGUGCAUGUGUUCAGU
ensembl:lncRNA